CAGCAGCCACGGUAAUACGUAGGGUGCAAGCGUUAAUCGGAAUUACUGGGCGUAAAGCGUGCGCAGGCGGUUAUAUAAGUCAGAUGUGAAAUCCCCGGGCUCAACCUGGGAACUGCAUUUGAGACUGUAUGGCUAGAGUGUGUCAGAGGGGGGUAGAAUUCCACGUGUAGCAGUGAAAUGCGUAGAUAUGUGGAGGAAUACCGAUGGCGAAGGCAGCCCCCUGGGAUAACACUGACGCUCAUGCACGAAAGCGUGGGGAGCAAACAGGAUUAGAUACCCCUGUAGUCCCUGUCUCUUAUAC
rnacentral:rRNA from 1 species